UACGUAGGCAGCAAGCGUUGUUCGGAGUUACUGGGCGUAAAGGGUGUGUAGGCGGCUUUUUAAGUUUGGUGUGAAAUCUCCCGGCUCAACCGGGAGGGUGCGCCGAAUACUGAGAGGCUAGAGUGCGGGAGAGGAAAGUGGAAUUCCUGGUGUAGCGGUGAAACGCGUAGAUAUCAGGAGGAACACCGGUGGUGUAGACGGCUUUCUGGACCGUAACUGACGCUGAAACACGAAAGCGUGGGUAGCAAAACAGG
rnacentral:rRNA from 1 species